rnacentral:rRNA from 1 species
GACGAACGCUGGCGGCGUGCUUAACACAUGCAAGUCGAACGGAAAGGCCCUGCUUUUGUGGGGUGCCCGAGUGGCGAACGGGUGAGUAACACGUGAGUAACCUGCUCUUCAUUUUGGGAUAACUUCAGGAAACUGGGGUUAAUAUCGGACAGGAGCCCCUGUUGCAUGGUGGGGGUUGGAAAGUUUCGGCGGGAGCGGAUGGAUUCGCGGCUUACCGGUUUGCUGGUUGGGUAGUGGCAGACCAAGCAUGUGACGGAUAGGCGGCCUGUGAGGGUGACCGGCCACAAUGGGACUGAGGUACGGCCCAGACUCCUACGGGAGACAACAGGGGGGAGUAUUACACAGUGAGCGGGAGCCUGAUGCAGCGACGCCGCGUGCGGGAAGACGGCCUUCGGGUAGAGAACCGCUUUAGCCUGUGACGAAGCGUGAGUGACGGUAAUGGGUGAAGAAGCACCGGCUAACUACGUG